rnacentral:rRNA from 1 species
UGGGGAAUAUUGGACAAUGGGCGAAAGCCUGAUCCAGCCAUGCCGCGUGUGUGAAGAAGGUCUUCGGAUUGUAAAGCACUUUAAGUUGGGAGGAAGGGCAGUAAGCGAAUACCUUGCUGUUUUGACGUUACCGACAGAAUAAGCACCGGCUAACUCUGUGCCAGCAGCCGCGGUAAUACAGAGGGUGCAAGCGUUAAUCGGAAUUACUGGGCGUAAAGCGUGCGUAGGUGGUUCGUUAAGUUGAAUGUGAAAGCCCCGGGCUCAACCUGGGAACUGCAUCCAAAACUGGCGGGCUAGAGUAGGGCAGAGGGUGGUGGAAUUUCCUGUGUAGCGGUGAAAUGCGUCGCUAUAGGAAGGACCACCAGUGGCGAAGGCGACCACCUGGGCUCAUACUGACACUGAGGUGCGAAAGCGUGGGGAGCAAACAGG